GCCAUUGAAAUGUGCAAAAGAAAAAUUUCCUGGCAUCUUAAAAAAAAUGUCGAAGUCAGUUACUCCACAAGCCCUGUUUGUAAGAGUCCUUGAAAAGAGAAGCAUCAGUUUUCCAAUAUGAAGUAAAUGGAGAAUACAGCUCAUGGAAGGUCAGAAUGUAUAAGAAUGUGUUUAUUGGAUACCUUCAAAGUCACUAAGCUAAAACCCAACUCCCAAGAAGAAAAGCAGAGGAGCAUUAUGUCAUAAACAUUUUCUGAAGUCAACAUUCCGAAAACAUAGCUUCAAAGCUGAGAAUGAUAUGGAUACGUAUCCUCACGAUUUUAAUGGAGGAACUAGACACAGCCUAUACACCCUUCAGGAUCUGAGUGUUUCAGAGACCCAUUCAUCACCAUUAACAACACCCAGAGAUUCAUUUUUGAUUUACUAAGAUGGAAUACUUAGAGAGGAAUUUGCAAAGAGAAAACUGUUAUUUCUCCUUCUCUUCCAAUCCUCAAGCAAAAUGAAGGCAAUUCCAAGAGUUCUUGACUGCACCUUUGAAGUUGUGGAGCACAGCUAAUGGAAAAGGCUGGAGGCAGGAGCAGGCUGGAGCAACCACAGAGGCAGAGCCAAGAGAUGGGGCAGUAGGAGAAUGUGGUUAAUGUGUCUGGAGUGGGGCGAGGUGAUUUGGAAGGUUUCUCUAGAGGCAAAUGGUAGACAGCCAUGUCAUCUUGUGUGAUCUCCCCAUGGUGGCAAGUCAAUUUUCCAGUUGUUCACGCCCCAAAUCUUGGAGUCACUCUUGACUCCAUAUCUCUUCUGUAGACUACAUCUAAUUUUGCUCCCAAUCACCUCUUUCGGGGUUGCUAUUGUAAUCCAAGUCUCCAUCAUUUCCAGUUCAAACUGAAAUUGUUGUAUGUUUGCCACUUCCUCCCCUGAUUAGUUUCAACAUAGCACUCAGAGUAGUUCUUGUAAUGUUUAACUUGAAUUAUAUCACAGCUCUGUUCAGAACUCUAUUUCCUGUGGCUUCAUGUCUUAAAGUAAAAGCAAAAGUCUUAAAAUUGGCAUAUAAGGUUCUAUGUUAUCUGUCUCCCCAUACAUAUAUUUGUUCCUUUCUGAGCUAAUUUCCUAGCACUUUUCCUCUUCUCAUUUGGCUACACACAGGGCACUGCUCAUUCAGCCUUCAGCUUGCCAAAUGUGCACACACCCCAGGGCCUUUUCACUUACUAUCUCCUCUGCCUGGAACAUGUGUCCCCAGAUAUGCAUAUACUUACUCCUCUACUAUAUUCAGGUAGCAUCUCUUAGGCCAGCUUUUUAGAAAGUCUUUCCCUUGCCAUCCUUGAUAUUAGCAUUUCCUUCAGUCACCUGAUAUCCCCAAAUUCCAUUGUAUUUUUCUAUCAGGCACUUGUCAUGUGACAUAUUUUUAUAUGCUUAUUGCUUUAUUGUUUUAGUCUAACGUUAGAAUGUGAGCUCUUGGAGAAAAAGGAGUUUGUCCAUCUUGUUUUCUUUGUCCUAUCACCACAGCCUACUAUAGAGCAGAUCACAGAGGAAGUAUUCAAUAGAUAUGUGUUGAAUAAAUGAUAGAUGCUUC
ensembl:lncRNA LINC01340 long intergenic non-protein coding RNA 1340